rnacentral:rRNA from 1 species
AUUGAACGCUGGCGGCAUGCUUUACACAUGCAAGUCGAACGGCAACACGGGGGCGAACCCUCGGUGGCGAGUGGCGAACGGGUGAGUAAUACAUAGGAACGUAAUCCUGAAAUAGGGGGAGUAGCUCGGCGAAAGACCGGAUUAAUACCGCAUACGAUCUACGGAUGAAAGACAGGGGAGUUCGCAAGAACCUUGCGUUUCUGGAGCGGCCUAUGUCUGAUUAGCUAGUU